rnacentral:rRNA from 1 species
UACGUAGGGGGCAAGCGUUGUCCGGAUUUAUUGGGCGUAAAGAGCGUGUAGGCGGUUUGGUAGGUCCGUUGUGAAAACUCGAGGCUCAACCUCGAGACGCCGGCGGAAACCAUCAGGCUAGAGUCCGGAAGAGGAGAGUGGAAUUCCUGGUGUAGCGGUGAAAUGCGCAGAUAUCAGGAAGAACACCCGUGGCUAAGGCGGCUCUCUAGUACGGUACUGACGCUGAGACGCGAAAGCGUGGGGAGC